GAUGAAGAACGUAGCGAAAUGCGAUAAGUAAUGUGAAUUGCAGAAUUCAGUGAAUCAUCGAAUCUUUGAACGCACCUUGCGCCCUUUGGCUAUUCCGAAGGGCAUGCCUGUUUGAGUAUCAUGAACACCUCAACUCUUCACGGCUUGCCGUGAUGAGUUUGGACUUUGGGGGUCUUGCUGGCCUACGAGCCAGCUCCUCUCAAAUGUAUUAGAUUGCCGGUGUUUGGUGGCAUCACAGGUGUGAUAACUAUCUACGCUUGUGGUUUUCCACUAGGUAACCUUCAGCAAUGGAGGUUCACCGGAGCUCACAAAUGUCUCUCCUUGCCAAGGACAGAUUUUGACCAUUUGAUCUCAAAUCAGGUAGGACUACCCGCUGAACUUAAGCAUAUCAAUAAGCGGAGGA
rnacentral:misc_RNA from 1 species